GACGAACGCUGGCGGCGUGCUUAACACAUGCAAGUCGAACGGAAAGGUCCUGCGUUUGUGGGUUUCUCGAGUGGCGAACGGGUGAGUAACACGUGAGUAACCUGCCCUUGACUUUGGGAUAACUUCAGGAAACUGGGGCUAAUACCGGAUAUGAUCUCCUGCUGCAUGUUGGUGGUUGGUGAGAUUCGGCGGUGGGGGAUGUACUCGCGGCUUAUCCGCUUGUUUGUGGGGUAGUGGCUUACCAAGGCUUUGACGGGUAGCCGGCCUGAGAGGGUGACCGGCCACCUUGGGACUGAGAUACGGACCAGACUGGUACGGGACGCAGCAGUGGAGAGUCUUGCACAAUGGGGGGAAGCCUGAUGCAGAAACGCCGCGUGCGGGAUGACCGCCUUCGGGUUGUAAACCGCUUUCGCAUGUGACGAAGCGUGAGUGACGGUAAUGGGUAAAGAAGCCCCGGCUAACUACGUG
rnacentral:rRNA from 1 species